rnacentral:rRNA from 1 species
UACGAAGGGGGCUAGCGUUGCUCGGAGUGACUGGGCGUAAAGGGCGCGUAGGCGGUUCGUACAGUCAGACGUGAAAUCCCCGGGCUUAACUCGGGGCCUGCAGGCGAAACUGUGGUGCUGGAGUAUGGGAGAGGUGCGUGGAAUUCCUGGUGUAGCGGUGAAAUGCGCAGAUAUCAGGAAGAACACCCGUGGCGAAGGCGGCUCUCUGGGACGGUACUGACGCUGAGACGCGAAAGCGUGGGGAGCGAACAGG